GACCGCGUAGCUCAGUUGGAAGAGCAUUGGGCUAGUAUUCCGAAGCUCGUAGGUUCGAAUCCCACCGUGGCCG
rnacentral:tRNA from 1 species